ACGUAGGGUGCGAGCGUUGUCCGGAAUUAUUGGGCGUAAAGAGCUCGUAGGCGGUCUGUCACGUCGGUCGUGAAAACUUGGGGCUUAACCCUGAGCUUGCGGUCGAUACGGGCAUGACUUGAGUUCGGCAGGGGAGACUGGAAUUCCUGGUGUAGCGGUGAAAUGCGCAGAUAUCAGGAGGAACACCGGUGGCGAAGGCGGGUCUCUGGGCCGAUACUGACGCUGAGGAGCGAAAGCGUGGGGAGCGAACAGG
rnacentral:rRNA from 1 species